rnacentral:rRNA from 1 species
UACGUAGGGUGCAAGCGUUAUCCGGAAUUAUUGGGCGUAAAGAGCUCGUAGGCGGUUUGUCGCGUCUGCUGUGAAAACCGGAGGCUCAACCUCCGGCCUGCAGUGGGUACGGGCAAACUAGAGUGCGGUAGGGGAGAUUGGAAUUCCUGGUGUAGCGGUGAAAUGCGCAGAUAUCAGGAGGAACACCGGUGGCGAAGGCGGAUCUCUGGGCCAUUACUGACGCUGAGGAGCGAAAGCGUGGGGAGCGAACAGG